rnacentral:rRNA from 1 species
UGGGAAUCUUCGGCAAUGGACGAAAGUCUGACCGAGCAACGCCGCGUGAGUGAAGAAGGUUUUCGGAUCGUAAAACUCUGUUGUUAGAGAAGAACAAGGACGUUAGUAACUGAACGUCCCCUGACGGUAUCUAACCAGAAAGCCACGGCUAACUACGUGCCAGCAGCCGCGGUAAUACGUAGGUGGCAAGCGUUGUCCGGAUUUAUUGGGCGUAAAGCGAGCGCAGGCGGUUUCUUAAGUCUGAUGUGAAAGCCCCCGGCUCAACCGGGGAGGGUCAUUGGAAACUGGGAGACUUGAGUGCAGAAGAGGAGAGUGGAAUUCCAUGUGUAGCGGUGAAAUGCGUAGAUAUAUGGAGGAACACCAGUGGCGAAGGCGGCUCUCUGGUCUGUAACUGACGCUGAGGCUCGAAAGCGUGGGGAGCAAACAGGAUUAGAUACCCUGGUAGUCCACGCCGUAAACGAUGAGUGCUAAGUGUUGGAGGGUUUCCGCCCUUCAGUGCUGCAGCAAACGCAUUAAGCACUCCGCCUGGGGAGUACGACCGCCAGGUUG